rnacentral:rRNA from 1 species
AGUGGCGACCGGGUGAGUAACACGUGACUAACCUACCUCCGAGUGGGGAAUAACUCCGGGAAACCGGGGCUAAUACCGCAUAACAUCGCAAGAUCAAAGCAGCAAUGCGCUUGGAGAGGGGGUCGCGGCUGAUUAGCUAGUUGGCGGGGUAACGGCCCACCAAGGCGAAAAUCGGUAUCCGGCCUGAGAGGGCGCACGGACACACUGGAACUGAAACACGGUCCAAACUCCUACGGGAGGCAGCAGUGGGGAAUAUUGCGCAAUGGGGGAAACCCUGACGCACCAACGCCGCGUGGAGGAUGAAGUCCCUUGGGACGUAAACUCCUUUCGACCAAAACGAUAAUGACGGUACUGGUGGAAAAAGCACCGGCUAACUCUGUGCCAGCAGCCGCGGUAAUACAAAGGGUGCGAGCGUUGUUCGGAAUUAUUGGGCGUAAAGGGCGCGUAGGCGGUGCCACAAGUCACCUGUGAAAUCUCCGGGCUUAACUCGGAGUCUGCAGGCGA